GAUGAAGAACGUAGUGAAAUGCGAUAAGUAAUGUGAAUUGCAGAAUUCAGUGAAUCAUCGAAUCUUUGAACGCACAUUGCGCCCGCCAGUAUUCUGGCGGGCAUGCCUGUCUGAGCGUCAUUUCAACCCUCAUGCCCCUAGGGCGUGGUGUUGGGGAUCGGCCAAAGCCCGCGAGGGACGGCCGGCCCCUAAAUCUAGUGGCGGACCCGUCGUGGCCUCCUCUGCGAAGUAGUGAUAUUCCGCAUCGGAGAGCGAUGAGCCCCUGCCGUUAAACCCCCAACUUUCCAAGGUUGACCUCAGAUCAGGUAGGAAUACCCGCUGAACUUAAGCAUGUCAAUAAGCGGAGGA
rnacentral:misc_RNA from 1 species